rnacentral:rRNA from 1 species
GAGUUUGAUCAUGGCUCAGGACGAACGCUGGCGGCGUGCUUAACACAUGCAAGUCGAGCGAUGAAGCUUCCUUCGGGAAGUGGAUUAGCGGCGGACGGGUGAGUAACACGUGGGCAACCUGCCUCAAAGAGAGGAAUAGCCCUCCGAAAGGAGGAUUAAUACCGCAUAAAGUUAGAGUUUCGCAUGAAACUUUAACCAAAGGAGUAAUCCGCUUUGAGAUGGGCCCGCGUCCCAUUAGCUAGUUGGUAGGGUAAUGGCUUACCAAGGCAACGAUGGGUAGCCGACCUGAGAGGGUGAUCGGCCACAUUGGAACUGAGACACGGUCCAGACUCCUACGGGAGGCAGCAGUGGGGAAUAUUGCGCAAUGGGGGAAACCCUGACGCAGCAACGCCGCGUGGGUGAUGAAGGUUUUCGGAUCGUAAAACCCUGUUUUCUGGGACGAUAAUGACGGUACCAGAUGAGGAAGCCACGGCUAACUACGUGCCAGCAGCCGCGGUAAUAC